rnacentral:rRNA from 1 species
UAUCUCUGUAGAGUCUGCAUAUCAAUAAGCGGAGGAAAAGAAACUAACUAAGGAUUCCCUUAGUAACGGCGAGUGAAGCGGGAAGAGCUCAAAUUUGAAAUCUUCAAGGUUUUACCUUGACGAAUUGUAGUUUAAAGAAGUGUUUUCUGUUAGGUGUUAUUGGUAGCAAAAGUUCUUUGGAAUAGGACAUCAUAGAGGGUGAGAAUCCCGUAUUUGGUACCAUUACUUCCUAGCUUUGUGAUACACUUUCAAAGAGUCGGAUCGUUUGGGAAUGCAGUCCAAAAUGGGUGGUAAAUUUCAUCUAAAGCUAAAUAUUGGCGAGAGACCGAUAGCGAACAAGUACCGUGAGGGAAAGAUGAAAAGAACUUUGAAAAGAGAGUUAAACAGUACGUGAAAUUGUCAAAAGGGAAGCGUUUGACACCAGUGUUGUUUUUCCGAAAAAUCAAUUACGAAUGGCUUGAUUCUGUGUUGUAUUGACCUUAUCAGCUUUCUUGCACUUUUUUUCGAGUCUUUCUUAAUGCACUUUUUCGGUUAACAAGUCAACAUCAAUUUCUUUUGUUGUAAAAGAGUAUUCGGAAGGUGGCUUUCUUUUCGGAGAAAGCGUUUAUAGCCCUAUACUUCUACAAUCGGAGAGAUUGAGGUCUGCAGCGUAGAUCCUUCGGGGUUAGAUACACUUGUGCUAAGUUGUAGCUUUUCAUAGACAACUUGUUGACUAUGUUUAGUCAUUGCGGCUUACUCGCUUGUGCUAUUUUACCUACGCUUAGGAUGUUGACGAGACUGUCGAUCUC